CGGAAGGUAUCCUGCUGCAUUGCC
rnacentral:siRNA from 1 species